rnacentral:rRNA from 1 species
AUUGAACGCUGGCGGAAUGCUUUACACAUGCAAGUCGAACGGUAGAGGGGGCAACCCCUCGAGAGUGGCGAACGGGCGAGUGAUAUAUCGGAACGUGCCCAGUCGUGGGGGAUAACGUAGCGAAAGUUACGCUAAUACCGCAUACGAUCUAAGGAUGAAAGCGGGGGAUCGCAAGACCUCGCGCGAUUGGAGCGGCCGAUAUCAGAUUAGGUAGUUGGUGGGGUAAAGGCUCACCAAGCCAACGAUCUGUAGCUGGUCUGAGAGGACGACCAGCCACACUGGAACUGAGACACGGUCCAGACUCCUACGGGAGGCAGCAGUGGGGAAUUUUGGACAAUGGACGCAAGUCUGAUCCAGCCAUUCCGCGUGCAGGAUGAAGGCCCUCGGGUUGUAAACUGCUUUUGUACGGAACGAAAAGGUCUCUCUUAAUACGGGGGGCUCAUGACGGUACCGUAAGAAUAAGCACCGGCUAACUACGUGCCAGCCGCCGCGGUAA